rnacentral:misc_RNA from 1 species
GCUACUACCGAUUGAAUGGUUUAGUGAGGACUCCUGAUUGGCGCCGCCGCCCCGGCAACGGAGCAGCGGACUGCCGAAAAGUUGUUCAAACUUGAUCAUUUAGAGGAAGUAAAAGUCGUAACAAGGUUUCCGUAGGUGAACCUGCAGAAGGAGCAUGAUCGGCAGCGCGCCGUGUAGGGAAAACGUGUCGAUCUCGGUCGUCGCCGUAUCAUUAAAAAAAAAACUCAGUCCGACCGUUACGUCUACGGUGCAAGACAACACCUCAGCCGUGUCGAGU